AUACGUAGGUGGCGAGCGUUGUCCGGAAUUACUGGGUGUAAAGGGCGUGUAGGCGGGGCUUUAAGUCAGAUGUGAAAUUCCCGGGCUCAACUUGGGAGCUGCAUUUGAAACUGAGGAUCUUGAGUGCAGGAGGGGAAAGCGGAAUUCCUAGGGUAGCGGUGAAAUGCGUAGAUAUUAGGAGGAACACCAGUGGCGAAGGCGGCUUUCUGGACUGUAACUGACGCUGAGGCGCGAAAGCGUAGGGAGCAAACAGGAUUAGAUACCCUGGUAGUCCACGCUGUAAACGAUGAUUACUAGGUGUGGGAGGUAUCGACCCCUUCCGUGCCGCAGUUAACACAAUAAGUAAUCCACCUGGGGAGUACGGCCGCAAGGUUGAAACUCAAAGGAAUUGACGGGG
rnacentral:rRNA from 1 species